AAACACCGGCGAGAUUCUAUAUCACGAUCUCCUGUUUACUACACAGGCGCUUUAACCAACUAAGCCACGGCGCG
rnacentral:tRNA from 13 species